rnacentral:rRNA from 1 species
AUUGAACGCUGGCGGCAUGCCUUACACAUGCAAGUCGAACGGCAGCACGGGAGCAAUCCUGGUGGCGAGUGGCGAACGGGUGAGUAAAGUAUCGGAACGUGCCCAGUCGUGGGGGAUAACGUAGCGAAAGUUACGCUAAUACCGCAUACGAUCUAUGGAUGAAAGCGGGGGAUCGCAAGACCUCGCGCGAUUGGAGCGGCCGAUAUCAGAUUAGGUAGUUGGUGGGGUAAAGGCUCACCAAGCCGACGAUCUGUAGCUGGUCUGAGAGGACGACCAGCCACACUGGGACUGAGUCACAGCCCAGCCUCCUACGGGAGGCGGCAGUGGGGAAUUUUGGACAAUGGGCGAAAGCCUGAUCCAGCCAUGCCGCGUGCAGGAUGAAGGCCUUCGGGUUGUAAACUGCUUUUGUGCGGAACGAAAAGGUUUGGGCUAAUAAGCUGAGCUCAUGACGGUACCGUAAGAAUAAGCACCGGCUAACUACGUGCCAGCAGCCGCCGUAA